AAAAUUGUGAAUAUUAUUUGGUCGUAUAAUAUUGAUGUGUUAUGACAUGUUCACGUUAUCAAUUCGCACUAAGAUGGCAUUCGUAAACUUGAUUUUAUUCAACAUUUUCCUUGUGAGUGUGAAUUGUGAAUUGCCGAGAAUAAAUGGACUAAAAUUGUCGUUUAUGGAACCUAUUGGCGUGUAUGUUGAAUGGAAUAUUGUGCCAUACAGAUCUAUGCCUUUGAUAAAAGGGUACAAGGUGAAGCUAUGGUCGAUUGAAGAAGAUACGACAAGAAAUUUUAAAUUGCUAAAUGGAGAUCAAUACCCAGGAUUACAGAGGAACGAUGUCGCUCAAGAGCCCUUCAGCAUUGAACACAUAUCCAAAAAUAAUGUUAGUGUAAUAACAAAUUCCAACGGAUAUUAUAACAUGGCAAGACUAUUUAUGAGUAUAGACAAUUUGUAUGAAAUAAGAGUCAAUACUUUCAAUGCGACAGCUGAAGGACCAAUGACAGAUCCUAUUCGGGUGAAAAUCGUAAAAUCGGUGACCGAAUAUACCAUGUCACCAAAGGUAGUGAAACCACGACCAAUUUAUAAAGUAUUGGGUUUGAGAAGAAUCGAUUCAUGUGGUGUUUCAAUCAUUACGAACUCGAGUGACGGAGAGCCUUUUAUUCAUAAUUCUUAUUUGUAAAUAAUAUCUAUCGAUGAUAUAAUUUUUUUUUUAAUUUUUGACUUAUUUUACUACCAUCCAGUUAAUAAGCUUGGACUCUUGAGCCCCGCAUAUUAUCUUGCCCCAAAGUAUUUUCGGCUCUCUUUUCCUCUGCAACUGUAGUUUUAUGUUGCACCAAAUAAAAUAUAUUUUAAUAACAAA